GGCGAACGGGUGAGUAACACGUGGGUGAUCUGCCCUGCACUUCGGGAUAAGCCUGGGAAACUGGGUCUAAUACCGGAUAGGAGCCAUUUUUAGUGUGAUGGUUGGAAAGUUUUUUCGGUGUAGGAUGAGCUCGCGGCCUAUCAGCUUGUUGGUGGGGCAAUGGCCUACCAAGGCGGCGACGGGUAGCCGGCCUGAGAGGGUGGACGGCCACAUUGGGACUGAGAUACGGCCCAG
rnacentral:rRNA from 1 species